rnacentral:tRNA from 1 species
CCUUCGAUAGCUCAGUUGGUAGAGCGGAGGACUGUAGAGGAGAGCCCAGUCAUCCUUAGGUCGCUGGUUCGAAUCCGGCUCGAAGGA